rnacentral:rRNA from 1 species
UACGAAGGGGGCGAGCGUUGUUCGGAUUUACUGGGCGUAAAGGGCGCGUAGGCGGACAGUUUAGUCAGAGGUGAAAGCCCAGGGCUCAACCUUGGAAAUGCCUUUGAUACUGGCUGUCUUGAGUGCGGGAGAGGUGUGUGGAACUCCGAGUGUAGAGGUGAAAUUCGUAGAUAUUCGGAAGAACACCAGUGGCGAAGGCGGCUCACUGGCCCGGUACUGACGCUGAGGUGCGAAAGCGUGGGGAGCAAACAGG